UUUUUUUUUGCCCUGCCCCUCUGCCAUCCUGUUCCUGCCAUGGAGCUGGUUGCCCAUGGACUGAAAUCAGAAGCCAAAAAUAAACGUCUUCUCCUUUAAAUCAUACAGUUUCAGUGGAUUUUGAAGAAGUAAGUUAAACAUGUUAAAAUGUACACCACCUUCUGAUUAGUUUGCUGGGACAAAGAACAAUACAAGCUGCCACCCAGGUUGCAGAUUACGCGAUGUGCUACAACUCCAGAUUUCUUCAAAGUCUUCUCAAGUUUUGUCUUUAGGUCAAGUACCUCCUUGAUAUAAUGUAAAAGUAAGGAUUAAAUUGUCAACCAAAAAAAAAAAAAAAAACGGAAGGAGUGUUGUUUAUGCUGUGAGUUUUUCUUUAUAUAGCUUUGAUUUACUACUAUGGAAAUUAGCAAAUCAUAAAGGGAAUUUAUUAAAUCCUGAAGGGCCAGAAAACUUCUUUUGGUGGAAUCACCCAAGAAAUGGCAUUUCUUUUUUUUUAACUAGUCAGAAACUAUCUUUUGGGGGGUGAAUAGAAACAAAAGAAUAAAAGGCUAAUUGUUAUUGAAAUGUUUGUUACAUUUGGAAAAAAAUUCUAUUUUUACAG
rnacentral:lncRNA from 1 species